rnacentral:rRNA from 1 species
AGCGAACGCUGGCGGCAGGCCUAACACAUGCAAGUCGAACGAAGUCUUCGGACUUAGUGGCGGACGGGUGAGUAGCACGUGGGAACGUACCUUUUGGUUCGGAACAACUCAGGGAAACUUGAGCUAAUACCGGAUGAGCCCUUAGGGGGAAAGAUUUAUCGCCGAAAGAGCGGCCCGCGUUAGAUUAGCUAGUUGGUGAGGUAAAGGCUCACCAAGGCUACGAUCUAUAGCUGGUCUGAGAGGAUGAUCAGCCACACUGGGACUGAGACACGGCCCAGACUCCUACGGGAGGCAGCAGUGGGGAAUCUUGCGCAAUGGGCGAAAGCCUGACGCAGCCAUGCCGCGUGAAUGAUGAAGGUCUUAGGAUUGUAAAAUUCUUUUACCAGGGACGAUAAAGACGGUACCUGGAGAAAAAGCCCCGGCUAACUUCGUGCCAGCCGCCGCAGUAAGAC